rnacentral:tRNA from 1 species
GGCCAGGUAGCUCAGUUGGUAGAGCAGCGGAUUGAAAAUCCGCGUGUCGGGGGUUCGAUUCCCUCCCUGGCCACCA